ACCCUUGACCAUGACGAACUGGUGUCCUAUAUUUUCACAGGUUUAGAUUCAGAGUACAACCCCAUUGUGUCCACGAUUCUGACGAGGUCUGGUCCAAUCUCCAUUGGAGAGUUGUACUCUCAACUUAUGAGCCUCGAUC